rnacentral:misc_RNA from 1 species
AAACUGUUAACUUCAUGUUUUUAAAUGUAUAUAAAAUACCUCAGUAAUGUUAACAUGGCGAACUUAAAAUUUUCCUAGAGCCACAGUUUUUCACCUAUAUGUUUAAAAGUACAUUAUAUUUAGAAGACACAUGUGGUUUCAAGUAAACACUUUAGUGUGUUGGAGCCAUUUUUACAAGUGCAUGGAAUUUUGACAGUUGUGUCAGUGUUGAUAUCAAGAAGUUAUAUCUGACUCUUAAGCAAACUGAGCAGAUUGUGCAUAUUGAAACCAGCGACGUCAUUUUGACUAUUUUUGAUGCAAGAAAUAAAUAGAUCUUUCUGAAAAUAUAAGGUCUAGCUCAAAUGAUUUUAACAAUAUUGUGAAAGUUGAAAUCUUUUUUUUUUGCAAAAUUAACAAUUUUCUUUUUCAUGUUAAGGUAUAUAUAUAUAUAUUUGUAUUUACAUCAAAUUAUUUUUUAAUUGUUAUUGUUUUCUUUAAUUUGUGAUCUUAACGUCUGUUUAUCUUAUUUUUAAUUUCAAAUAAACAAUAAAUUUU